rnacentral:rRNA from 1 species
GACGAACGCUGGCGGCGUGCUUAACACAUGCAAGUCGAACGGGAUGAUUUAGAAGCUUGCUUUUAGAGAAUCUAGUGGCAAACGGGUGAGUAACACGUAGGCAACCUGCCGACAGGAUGGGGACAACAUUCCGAAAGGAAUGCUAAUACCGAAUGAAGCGCAGGAGAGGCAUCUCUCCUGCGUGAAAGAUGGCCUCUAUUUAUAAGCUAUCACCUGUCGAUGGGCCUGCGUCUGAUUAGCUGGUUGGUGAGGUAACGGCUCACCAAGGCGACGAUCAGUAGCCGGUCUGAGAGGAUGACCGGCCACAUUGGGACUGAGACACGGCCCAGACUCCUACGGGAGGCAGCAGUGGGGAAUCUUCCGCAAUGGGCGCAAGCCUGACGGAGCAACGCCGCGUGAGUGAAGAAGGUCUUCGGAUCGUAAAGCUCUGUUGAUGGGGACGAACGUGCGAAGGGUGAAUAAACCUUUGUAAUGACGGUACCUGUCGAGGAAGCCACGGCUAACUACGUG